rnacentral:rRNA from 1 species
GACGAACGCUGGCGGCGUGCUUAACACAUGCAAGUCGAGCGGUAAGGCCCUUUCGGGGGUACACGAGCGGCGAACGGGUGAGUAACACGUGGGUGACCUGCCCUCAGCUCUGGGAUAAGCCCUGGGAAACCGGGUCUAAUACUGGAUAUGACUCCAUGACGCAUGUUGUGGGGUGGAAAGCCUUGUGCGGCUGAGGAUGGGCCCGCGGCCUAUCAGCUUGUUGGUGGGGUGAUGGCCUACCAAGGCGACGACGGGUAGCCGGCCUGAGAGGGCGACCGGCCACACUGGGACUGAGACACGGCCCAGACUCCUACGGGAGGCAGCAGUGGGGAAUCUUGCGCAAUGGGCG